rnacentral:sRNA from 2 species
GAUUCGGUCUCGCUGAGUUUCCUGCAUAGGAAAACGGGGGAACCAACAUAUGUCUUCAAGCCAUUAUUAUCAGAAUACCGAAGUCAUUAUGUAUGAUUCCUUUUACAGGGUCUAUGGGGUGAAUUGGAGGUACUCGCGCCAUGAGCGGAGGAGCCUUCAAAGGGCAAGAAAUAUGAUGUGUCCGAAUCCGACAGCUAACCCCGUAAGCGAUGCAGAGGCAACCU